rnacentral:rRNA from 2 species
ACGACUCUCGGCAACGGAUAUCUCGGCUCACGCAUCGAUGAAGAACGUAGCAAAAUGCGAUACUUGGUGUGAAUUGCAGAAUCCCGUGAACCAUCGAGUUUUUGAACGCAAGUUGCGCCCGAAGCCAUCUGGCCGAGGGCACGUCUGCCUGGGCGUCACG